AUACGGAAGGUCCGGGCGUUAUCCGGAUUUAUUGGGUUUAAAGGGAGCGCAGGCGGAGAUGCAAGCGUGACGUCAAAUUUCGGGGCUCAACCCCGUCUCGCGUCGCGAACUGCGUCCCUUGGUUGCGGGAAGGGGAGGCGGAACUCGUGGUGUAGCGGUGAAAUGCAUAGAUAUCACGAAGAACUCCGAUCGCGAAGGCAGCCUUCCGGCCCGUCAACGACGCUCAUGCUCGAAGGUGCGGGUAUCAAACAGGAUUAGAUACCCUGGUAGUCCGCACGGUAAACGAUGAUUACCCGCUGUCGGCGGCAGACAGUCGGCGGCCAAGCGAAAGCGAUAAGUAAUCCACCUGGGGAGUACGCCGGCAACGGUGAAACUCAAAUGAAUUGACGGGG
rnacentral:rRNA from 1 species